CUUUCUUUUCUCGCUGAAAUUCUCGGCUUUUCAGAUUUAUUCCGUGAAACAAAAAAGAGAAAAAAAAAACUUAUUUCCACAGAAAACUAACCUAACCUGCCGCAAGAGAAUUAAAGUGUGUAGGUUUCUAAUUUGUGCAAAUUAAACAAGGCAUUGGAAAUGGUUGGCUGUUGACACUUUUAUUUUGAACAAUGUUACGGCUUGCAAGAGUACAUGAGCUUCCUCUGGAGGAAUUUUCUAAGCAAAGUUUUGCGUUUUGUGCUAAAUAUUACAUCGGAAGUAGGAUCUAAAAUAAAUGUGCAAGAUAUUGAUAGGGGCGACGUUGAGAAUCAUUUUGCACCGGGGCAUUGAUUAUUGGUCAAACCAGAAGCAACUUUCCAUUUGUGGGACACAUUAGCAUGUAUAUUGAUCCGCAAGAAAUGGUGAAAGUCAAAGUACCGAAGUUGUUUAACGGUGUAAUGGGGAAAAUAUAGAGAAAAUGAAUGAAGCAUUCCUGAGUCCCUAGGCACACUAAGAUUCUCUCAUAUCAAGCUAUGUUGCAUAUGUAAUUAUGUAUGAGUUAAGCAUACAACUAUUCCUAGAAACAAACCCUGCUGGUGGCGCAGGUAUCAGGGGUGUAAUUUUUGCCCGGCAGCCCGCCCAGUACCGUCCGUAUUGUUCCAUGACAGCCCAUGGGUGACCGUGGUCCUUUACGGGCUGACCCGACCUAGCCCAUUUAAAUAAGAGGGCGAGCACAUGCCACAAUUCAAAUUUUCUUGUCCGGCCCAAUACCCUUCAUAUUAUCCCGUCAAUGCUACCCGCCAUGUUAGCCCGCCAGUAUUAUCCAUUUACCUAGCCUAAGUGAUUGUUCUCAUUUGUUUUAUCCUAGAAUAUACUUGGUACAUAUACU